rnacentral:RNase_P_RNA from 2 species
GAAGCAGAUCAGACGGUCGCCUGUUCUGAGGAACGGGAGGAAAGUCCGAACUCCAGCGGGCAAGGUACCUGAAGAAAUUCAGGGUUGGUAGAAUGUAAAUUCUAUCAGACGGAAAGUGUCACAGAAACUAUACCGCCGGAGAGCUGUUUACAGCCAUCCGGUAAGGGUGAAAUGGCGGGGUAAGAGCCCACCGCUCAGAUUCUGAACAGAAUGGUUUAAUUUAAGCCGUGGUAACACCUGAGCCGGAUAAACCCUUCCUGGAGCAAGGCCAAAUAAGGGAGAAUUCUUCAGCGAAGAGCGAGACUGCCCCGCUCGUGUCCAAUUAAAGGACAAACUCCUGGGUAGGCCGCAUCAGAUAAAUGACCGUUACCCCUGAAUGGGGGAACAGAAUUCGGCUUAUCGAUCUGCUUCCGUU